CGGCAACAGCUCAAAUUUGAAAUCUGGCUCUUCUAGGGUCCGAGUUGUAAUUUAGAGAAGCGUCUUCCGCGCUGGACCGUGCACAAGUCUCCUGGAAUGGAGCGUCAUAGAGGGUGAGAAUCCCGUCUUUGGCACGGACUCCCGGUGCUUUGCGAUGCGCUCUCGA
rnacentral:rRNA from 1 species